UAGGGCGGGGUGCUAUAAUGCAAGUCGAGCGGACAGAUGGGAGCUUGCUCCCUGAUGUUAGCGGCGGACGGGUGAGUAACACGUGGGUAACCUGCCUGUAAGACUGGGAUAACUCCGGGAAACCGGGGCUAAUACCGGAUGCUUGAUUGAACCGCAUGGUUCAAUUAUAAAAGGUGGCUUUUAGCUACCACUUACAGAUGGACCCGCGGCGCAUUAGCUAGUUGGUGAGGUAACGGCUCACCAAGGCAACGAUGCGUAGCCGACCUGAGAGGGUGAUCGGCCACACUGGGACUGAGACACGGCCCAGACUCCUACGGGAGGCAGCAGUAGGGAAUCUUCCGCAAUGGACGAAAGUCUGACGGAGCAACGCCGCGUGAGUGAUGAAGGUUUUCGGAUCGUAAAACUCUGUUGUUAGGGAAGAACAAGUACCGUUCGAAUAGGGCGGUACCUUGACGGUACCUAACCAGAAAGCCACGGCUAACUACGUGCCAGCAGCCGCGGUAAUACGUACGUGGCAAGCGUUGUUCGGAAAUAUUUGGGCGUAAAAGCGCGCGCAGGGCGGUUUCUUAAAUCUUGAUGUUGAAAGCCCCCGGGCUCAACCGGGGAAGGUCAUUGGGAAAUGGGGAAAUCUUGGGUGCAAAAAAAAGGGGAGGAGAAAUCUCACAAAUGGAAAAAGGGGUCUCCCCCCCGCUGUUUUCGGGCCCCCAAGGGGCGUUUAACGCGGGGAGAGUACCCUGUGUAAUAAGGUUGG
rnacentral:rRNA from 1 species